UGGAAACCGAGAGGCUUUAGAAGGAGUCUUUGAUGGUCAAAGCUAGGGCCUGCUCUCUCUUAAGAGAUCCAUUUCUCAAAGACUUCAUAUGGUUUCCACCAUUGAAAAUUCUAGCGAGAGAGAGAGGAGAGGACUAAACCCUAGUUCGAUCAACCAAGUUAAGAUGAAGCAAGAGGGGGCAUGGAAGGGAUGGAAGGAGAGGGAGAAGUAAAGGAGUCUGCUUGCCCUCUACUCUACUCCGGAUUCGAGAUGAUCAAGAGGCAAGAGAAGUUACCGGCUCAGCUCUUGAUUGAUGAGGGAAGGGAGCACUCAGAAAUCCUAAAGAGUACUCUGAUCUCUAAA
rnacentral:lncRNA from 1 species